AUUGAACGCUGGCGGCAUGCCUUACACAUGCAAGUCGAACGGCAGCACGGGAGCAAUCCUGGUGGCGAGUGGCGAACGGGUGAGUAAUAUAUCGGAACGUGCCCAGUCGUGGGGGAUAACGCAGCGAAAGCUGUGCUAAUACCGCAUACGAUCUAAGGAUGAAAGCGGGGGAUCGCAAGACCUCGCGCGAUUGGAGCGGCCGAUAUCAGAUUAACUAGUUGGUGGGGUAAAGGCCCACCAAGGCGACGAUCUGUAGCUGGUCUGAGAGGACGACCAGCCACACUGGAACUGAGACACGGUCCAGACUCCUACGGGAGGCAGCAGUGGGGAAUUUUGGACAAUGGGCGCAAGCCUGAUCCAGCAAUGCCGCGUGCAGGAUGAAGGCCUUCGGGUUGUAAACUGCUUUUGUACGGAACGAAACGGCCCUUUCUAAUACAGGGGGCUAACGACGGUACCGUAAGAAUAAGCACCGGCUAACUACGUGCCAGCAGCCGCAGUAA
rnacentral:rRNA from 1 species